rnacentral:tRNA from 1 species
GCGAAAGUGGCGGAACUGGCAUACGCGCUGGAUUUAGGAUCCAGUGGGCCUCGCCCGUGGGGGUUCAACUCCCCCCUUUCGCA